CAGUAGCCGCGGUAACACGAAGGGUGCAAGCGUUACUCGGAAUUACUGGGCGUAAAGCGUGCGUAGGUGGUGGUUUAAGUCCGUUGUGAAAGCCCUGGGCUCAACCUGGGAAUUGCAGUGGAUACUGGGUCACUAGAGUGUGGUAGAGGAUAGUGGAAUUUCCGGUGUAGCAGUGAAAUGCGUAGAGAUCGGAAGGAACAUCUGUGGCGAAGGCGACUAUCUGGGCCAACACUGACACUGAGGCACGAAAGCGUGGGGAGCAAACAGGAUUAGAUACCCGCGUAGUCCCUGUCUCUUAUAC
rnacentral:rRNA from 1 species